rnacentral:rRNA from 1 species
GUAGGUGGCAAGCGUUGUCCGGAAUUAUUGGGCGUAAAGCGCGCGCAGGCGGUUCUUUAAGUCUGAUGUGAAAGCCCACGGCUCAACCGUGGAGGGUCAUUGGAAACUGGAGAACUUGAGUACAGAAGAGGAAAGCGGAAUUCCACGUGUAGCGGUGAAAUGCGUAGAGAUGUGGAGGAACACCAGUGGCGAAGGCGGCUUUCUGGUCUGUAACUGACGCUGAGGCGCGAAAGCGUGGGGAGCAAACAGGGAUUAGAUACCCUGGUAGUCCACGCCGUAAACGAUGAGUGCUAAGUGUUAGGGGGUUUCCGCCCCCUUAGUGCUGCAGCUAACGCAUUAAGCACUCCGCCUGGGGAUACGGCCGCGAGGCUG